rnacentral:rRNA from 1 species
UCAGAUGACGCUAGCUACAGGCUUACACAUGCAAGUCGAGGGGCAGCAUCAUCAAAGCUUGCUUUGAUGGAUGGCGACCGGCGCACGGGUGAGUAACACGUAUCCAACCUGCCGACAACACUGGGAUAGCCUUUCGAAAGAAAGAUUAAUACCGGAUGGCAUAGUCUUCCCGCAUGGGAUGAUUAUUAAAGAAUUUCGGUUGUCGAUGGGGAUGCGUUCCAUUAGGCAGUUGGCGGGGUAACGGCCCACCAAACCUACGAUGGAUAGGGGUUCUGAGAGGAAGGUCCCCCACAUUGGAACUGAGACACGGUCCAAACUCCUACGGGAGGCAGCAGUGAGGAAUAUUGGUCAAUGGACGAGAGUCUGAACCAGCCAAGUAGCGUGAAGGAUGACUGCCCUAUGGGUUGUAAACUUCUUUUAUACGGGAAUAAAGUUAGCCACGUGUGGCUUUUUGUAUGUACCGUAUGAAUAAGGAUCGGCUAACUCCGUGCCAGCAGCCGCGGUAAUACGGAGGAUCCGAGCGUUAUCCGGAUUUAUUGGGUUUAAAGGGAGCGUAGGCGGGUUGUUAAGUCAGUUGUGAAAGUUUGCGGCUCAACCGUAAAAUUGCAGUUGAUACUGGCGACCUUGAGUGCAACAGAGGUAGGCGGAAUUCGUGGUGUAGCGGUGAAAUGCUUAGAUAUCACGAAGAACUCCGAUUGCGAAGGCAGCUUACUGGAUUGUAACUGACGCUGAUGCUCGAAAGUG